GAAAUGCUAAUUAGCUGCUAAUGUGGCUAUCAUAAAGAACUACAAAUGCCAUGAUGAUCUGGUGCGAGACUGCCGAACCGAGGCAUAGGUAAGAAUCGCUGGAUUAACUAUCUAAUGUUAACUAAAUCUAUUAAUUAAUAAUUAGGCUACAUUUCUUUAUGUUGACAUGGAUGAAAGCUGMGGAGGGUAUUCCUGUCCGUAGGUUUCCUAUAGAGAACCGUAGAGAGGGAUGUUUUGUCCUUAAUAACCAUCACAUCAAGAAAACUAUGACCUAUCACAAAUCAGUUAACGGUGAAGUGAAGGUGUUCAGUCAUAGAGUUUAGAUAAGCAUGGAAUUCCAAAAGUUCUUCCUGGGUGCCUGUAUAGAUCACGAAAAGGUCAUCCAAAUAUCUCAGAAUUAGGAGAAUAUUGGAGAGAAAAGGGUUAAGGUCUGGAUUCAGCACCACCUGUUUUUCAAACAUUCCUAGAUAUAGGUUAACAUAAUAAGGAGCCAUAGUGCUCCCCAUCGCUGUCCUUUUGGUCUGGAGGAAGAAGUCUCCUCUGAAGAGAAAUUAGUUGGAGGUUAGUACCAGUUACGCCAAGUCCACAAUACAAUUGAUGCUGGGUAGAGCAUUAGGGGGACUUUCAUUGAGGUAGAAAUUGAGGGCCUCUAGGCCGCCCUGUUGGGGAUGUUGGUAUAUAGACUGGUAACAUCAAAAGUACACAGAAUAGAAUUUUCAGGUAUAUGGUCCACAGAUUUAAAAACAAUUAUAAAAUCAAUCGAGUCUCUAGUAUACGUGGGGAGGGAGAUCACCCAGGGUUUCACAAAAUGGUCUACAAAGGUAGAGAUAUUCUCUGUCAGAGAUCCAUUACUACUCAAAAUGGGCCUGCCUGGUAUAGGUGGUGUCAUGCUCUUGUGAAUUUUGGGUGGAGCGUAUAUGACAGGUGUGGUUGGGAAAGCAACUUUAAUCUAGUCAUAUUCUGUCUUUGUAAUAUCCCCUUCAUUCAAAAAUGUUGACAAUAUAUCAUGGAUCAGAGACUUGAAUUGAUUAGUAGGGUACUUUGGGAGUCAUCAUCACUAAGUUGUCUCAGAAUGUCCUUUUCAUAGUCUGCUUCUUUUAGUAUCACUGUUGCACCUCCUUUGUCGGCAGGUUUUAUAAUGAUACCGGAGUCAUUUUUCAGUUCCAUAAGAGAUUAUUUCUCUGCUUUGAACAUAUUGUGGAAUACCUUGUAUUCUUGUUUCUUAGCCAGGAGAUUAUGUACAUCUUUCUCAACUAGGCGGCAAUAUGUUUCAAGAGAGGGAUUUAUUUUGGGUGGUAAAAAAUGUGCUUUUCCUCUUGAAAUAUGUAUUUUCCCUUGUCAUGUCCUCAGGGCGAGAGUCAAGUUCAUUGUCAUGGAGGUUAUCAAUUGGAAAAACAUUAGCACUGUUUUCAGUUCCCUGUCUGGUUACUAAUAUUGUUCAAUAGAUUAACAUUGGCAGGUGCAUAGGGAGCAACCCCAUUACCAAAAAAUGUAGUCAAUCUCAAACUACGCAAAAAACUUUUGAAAGUCUGUAACUGUAUCAAAGUCAUUGGCCUGUGAUGUUGGGACAAAUUAUAGUGCCUUACCUAGGGCAAAUGAACAUGUAUCAGAUAUAGACCUGUUGAACAGGUUUAUUACCAUGUCUUCUCCGUGUGUGGGGCGGGGACUUUGGGUGUUGUCUUACAUAGUGAAACCCUGUAGAAGCCUAAAGACACAGAUCAGUGARCACCGCAGCAAUAUACGGACAGGAAGUGAUGUCACUGAGUACUGCCCAUAUAAAUAGGACCUUCCACCCUGGGAUAUGGAUGCCUGAUGAAGACCUAAGGGUCGAAACGUUGUAAAUAAAUAUCACCUGAGAGCAUGA